AUGGGCGCAAGCUGAUCCAGCAAUGCCGCGUGAGUGAAGAAGGCUUUCGGGUGUAAAGCUCUUUGUCAGGGAAGAAACGGUUCAGGCUAAUAUCCUGGGCUAAUGACGGUACCUGAAGAAUAAGCACCGGCUAACUACGUGCCAGCAGCCGCGGUAAUACGUAGGGUGCAAGCGUUAAUCGGAAUUACUGGGCGUAAAGCGUGCGCAGGCGGUUUUGUAAGUCUGUCGUGAAAGCCCCGGGCUCAACCUGGGAAUUGCGAUGGAGACUGCAAGGCUUGAAUCUGGCAGAGGGGGGUAGAAUUCCACGUGUAGCAGUGAAAUGCGUAGAGAUGUGGAGGAACACCGAUGGCGAAGGCAGCCCCCUGGGUCAAGAUUGACGCUCAUGCACGAAAGCGUGGGGAGCAAACAGGAUUAGAUACCCUGGUAGUCCACGCCCUAAACGAUGUCUACUAGUUGUCGGGUUUUAAUUAACUUGGUAACGCAGCUAACGCGUGAAGUAGACCGCCUGGGGAGUACGGUCGCAAGAUUAAAACUCAAAGGAAUUGACGGGGACCCGCACAAGCGGUGGAUGAUGUGGAUUAAUUCGAUGCAACGCGAAAAACCUUACCUACCCUUGACAUGUCAGGAACCUCCGAGAGAUUGGAGGGUGCCCGAAAGGGAACCUGAACACAGGUGCUGCAUGGCUGUCGUCAG
rnacentral:rRNA from 1 species